rnacentral:rRNA from 1 species
UACGGAGGGUGCAAGCGUUGUUCGGAAUCACUGGGCGUAAAGCGCGCGCAGGCGGCAUCGUAAGUCGGGUGUGAAAUCCCUGGGCUUAACCCAGGACGUGCGCCUGAUACUGCGAUGCUAGAGUCUGGGAGAGGGAUGUGGAAUUCCUGGUGUAGAGGUGAAAUUCGUAGAGAUCAGGAGGAACACUCGUGGCGAAGGCGACAUCCUGGACCAAGACUGACGCUGAGGCGCGAAAGCGUGGGGAGCAAACAGGAUUAGAUACCCUGGUAGUCCACGCCAUAAACGAUGGAUACUGGGUGCUGCGGGUCUUGACCCCUGCGGUGCCACAAGCCAACGCGUUAAGUAUCCCGCCUGGGAAGUACGGCCGCAAGGUUAAA